rnacentral:rRNA from 1 species
AGCGAACGCUGGCGGCAGGCUUAACACAUGCAAGUCGAGCGCCCCGCAAGGGGAGCGGCCGACGGGAGAGUAACACGUGGGAACAUACCUUUUGGUUCGGAACAACUGAGGGAAACUUCAGCUAAUACCGGAUAAGCCCUUACGGGGAAAGAUUUAUCGCCGAAAGAUUGGCCCGCGUCUGAUUAGCUAGUUGGUGAGGUAACGGCUCACCAAGGCGACGAUCAGUAGCUGGUCUGAGAGGAUGAUCAGCCUCACUGGGACUGAGACACGGCCCAGACUCCUACGGGAGGCAGCAGUGGGGAAUAUUGGACAAUUGGGGCAACCCUGAUCCAGCCAUGCCGCGUGAGUGAUGAAGGCCUUAGGGUUGUAAAGCUCUUUUGCCCGGGAAGAUAAUGACGGUACCGGGAGAAUAAGCCCCGGCUAACUUCGUG